CUUCGGCGGGCCAUAAUUUCCAGAGAGUCUGCCUGGAUGUGACAUGUCCUUUUCAGCCAGGCAUUGUUUCGAUGCUGAUUUACGUGUGUUUGUGGCACUUUACCACCACCUCCUCCUCACCUCCAGCAGAGGCUGCAAAAUUUUAAAAGGACCAAGAAGAACAACAUCUAAUCAUAGAGAAGUAUGUUUAAGUUAGGAGGAGGGUUUGAUUCAGUAAUUAUGAUGCAGAUUUGACAGCCUACAUGCUCAACUUCAUUAUUUAAUGAAGCUCCAACAUCUUUUCUCUUUGUCCUCUCUCUCUCUCUAAAACAGUAAUUAUUCUCCCGUCCAGCCCAUCCCUCUUCCCUC